rnacentral:lncRNA from 1 species
GGAAUUGCUAACUUGUUUUGUUUCCUGUGUCUCCCUUUUCUCAGUCAAUUAAUUAUAUCCAGCAGUGGUAAUCCAGGCACAGAUUCAAGAUUCCACUGUUCACCGCCAAAAACCAGAUAAGCAAUCAUACCUUCUUAUUACCCCUUAAAAGCCAUCCACUCUGCAAGACUAGCUAGGAGUAAAAUGUGAUCUUUCUAAGAGCCAAGAGAGUGGUCAGUUUUCUGAGAUUGGGAUGAGGGGAAUGGAGAGGAUGGAAGAGAGAGGAAGGCCUCUCCUUGCCUCUUGAAACAAAGCCAUGGGGAGAACUUGAUCUUGGACCCAAGUCUCCACCUCCUACUGACCUUUAUUACCCAGUGGUAAGUCCAUUGGGGCCUCCAGUUUAUGCUCAUCACUGGAGCCACUGCUCCUCCUGCAAGCCCAUGCCUAAGGAUGGAAUCAAAAAGAAGACAGGGCUAUGUAAUGCCAUACCAGGCCCGGGGCAGCCGCAGAGGUGGCAGGCAGGGACAUCUAUCUAAGCCUUGUGCAGUGUCUGGCCCACAGUGGGCACUCAGCUGUUAAAUGACUGAUGGUGGAUGGAAGAAUUUGGAAGAGAGGCUUUGGUUGUCCCAGG